rnacentral:rRNA from 1 species
UAAAGAGGGUGCGAGCGUUAAUCGGAAUUACUGGGCGUAAAGCGUGCGUAGACGGUCAUGUAAGUCGGGUGUGAAAUCCCCGGGCUCAACCUGGGAAUUGCAUUCGAGACUGCGUGGCUAGGGUGCGGAAGAGGGAAGCGGAAUUUCCGGUGUAGCGGUGAAAUGCGUAGAUAUCGGAAGGAACAUCAGUGGCGAAAGCGGCUUCCUGGUCCAGCACCGACGUUCAGGCACGAAAGCGUGGGGAGCAAACAGG